UACGUAGGGGGCAAGCGUUGUCCGGAAUCAUUGGGCGUAAAGAGCGUGUAGGCGGCCCGGUAAGUCCGCUGUGAAAGUCAAAGGCUCAACCUUUGAAUGUCAGCGGAUACUGCCGGGCUAGAGUCCGGAAGAGGCGAGUGGAAUUCCUGGUGUAGCGGUGGAAUGCGCAGAUAUCAGGAGGAACACCAACGGCGAAGGCAGCUCGCUAGGACGGUACUGACGCUGAGACGCGAAAGCGUGGGGAGCGAACAGG
rnacentral:rRNA from 1 species